GGCGGCGUGCCUAACACAUGCAAGUACGAACGAAGUUAAGUUAAGAGCUUGCUCUUAACUUAACUUAGUGGCGGACGGGUGAGUAACGACGUGGGUAACCGUGCCUUAUACAGGGGGAGUAACAGCGAGAAAUCGUUGCUAAUACGCAUAAGCGCACAGUAUCGCAUGAUACAGUGUGAAAAUAUUUAUAGGUAUAAGAUGGACCCGCGUCUGAUUAGCUAGUUGGUGAGGUAAUGGCUCACCAAGGCAACGAUCAGUAGCCGACUUGAGAGAGUGAUCGGCCACAUUGGGACUGAGACACGGCCCAAACUCCUACGGGAGGCAGCAGUGGGGAAUAUUGCGCAAUGGGGGAAACCCUGACGCAGCGAACCGCCGCGUGAAGGAUGAAGAUUUUCGGAUUGUAAACUUCUAUCAGCAGGGAAGAUGAUGACAGUACCUGACUAAGAAGCCCCGGCUAACUACGUGCCAGCCGCUGC
rnacentral:rRNA from 1 species